AGCUUUGCGCAGUGGCAGUAUCAUAGCCCAUGAGGUUUGUCCGAGGCGUGAUUAUUGCUAGUUGAAAACUUUAACCAAUACCCCGCCGUGGUGACUUGAAAUAUAGUCGCCGCUGGCAAUUUUUGACAGUCUCACAGAGU
ensembl:snRNA U4 U4 spliceosomal RNA